AUCAUUAUUCCAACAAAAUUAAACGUCGUCAUCGUUUGCUAUAUAAUAUCGAAUACCGUGCGAAACUCAGACAGCUCGCAACACAAUGAAGGCACUGCUUUUGCUUUUCCUAAUUUCUAUAAGUGGAUUUUCCACCGUAAUUGGGUACGAGAUUUGUACAGCCGAACAGUUGAGAAAUGAAUGUUAUCUGAUAUGUGUAGUGGCUAAAGGCAAACUCUGCAUGACCAAUCCUCCUUGUCAAUGUCCCAAACCUCCCGAUAGACAAGGAAAACACAGAGGAUAAUAUACAAAUUAAACACGUUUUCAAUCAUAAUUGUUUCUUGUCUUUUGUCAAAUUAAUAUCGAAAAAUAUUAAAGAAAUUUAAUUUUUGUAAAGCGUAUGAAGUUUUUUUCUAUUAAGUUUAUUAUAAACAAGAAAUAUUCUAUACUUUAAUAAAUGAUUUUUCUGACGUAAUAGCCUGUCACUCGUCAAUUCAACGCUGAAGUUUUUAGCGUGUGUUUUAUUUAAAAAUAUUUACUAAAUAAUCGAGAAUAAUGCUUAAGAAAACACUUCGGAAUAUCAUUAUAAUUAGGCUUUUAUUACGGAAAUAUAUUUAUAACCCGAUCGUAUAAUUACUCCGUUUGUUAUUCCGCUGUACUUUCAUAAAAGAUAUAUCGAGAGAAAU